AAAAAAGUUACCAAGGGGACUGAGAACUCCAUGGAAAUAAUGUGAAAGUUAAGUCCUGCUAAGUUUUCUCACAGUAGAGGCAGAUGGAAAAGGUGGCUGGUGAAUGAGACCCAUGUCUGAUUUAGGUCGAGCAUGCCCGAUGGAGGCUCCACCUUCCACGACCAGCCUCUGACCAAGGCCUAGGAACAGGAAACCUCCUGUCUGAGGUUGGGAGAGGAAGGGAGAUGAGAACAGUUUGAAAUAAAUCCUGUGGAGACUUUCUACAAGCAGCUAUCAUAUGAGGGAAAAGGAUGCAAGACGCAGUCAUUGCUUUUCACUUUGGAGGGAAGAUCCAGGCACGCCCCUGACCACUGGACCCCUAAUACUUUACCGAGGUGGCAGGUCCCUGACUCACAGGGUUUAUCUCCCACCCUCUGGAGCACAUGCUUCGAGGCCAGGCCUCCAGUGUACUAGCUACCUCUUCCUUGCCCUCCUCAAUCAGCAUGGUGGCAUCGAUGGAGUGGAUGGAUGGGAUGGUCUGUGGGAUAUCUAGAUCUCUUUGGAUCUCACUGUGACUGAGGGUGGGAGAGUUAAUAGAAGCCUCGAGGAAAACUGAAAUAUCCCAAACUAUGGAAAUCUUUCUACUGAAGACUACAUGACCAGAUCAUUCCUCUCUCUACCAUGAAGCAGUCAGGGAGCCAAGACUCUCCUUGGACUGCAGGUCACCACCUCACCAUUGAUGAUUGUGGACUAGGCUACAGAGGGAUGUCCAGAGCUCAUAGUCAUGGCCCCAUCAUUGAUGAUUGUGGACUAGGCUACAGAAGGAUAGAGUUCAUAGUCAUGGCCCCAUCAUUGAUGAUUGUGGACUAGACUAUGGUAUGACCUCUUCUAUGGUUCCUACUGUCUAGUUCCCCCACGCUUCUGUGUUUCUUGGCUGUUUUCCAAGUCUGGUCCUCCAACUCUCCUGUAAUUCCAAUACAUUCCCUUUAUGUUUAAGAUAACCAUAGUCGAAUUCUGUCACUUGCCACUAAGACCACGACUAGCCAUAGAAGAGACUAGCAUCCCCUUUGCAUUUUCUUCUUUGCUAAAGCUACUGCCAACAUUCUUAUGAUGAGCUGAAUGAACACAAUUCAAAUCAUAGUUCCUAAUUGUGCAAUGUAAAUGAGACAGCAAGAAAGGUAAGGUAGGGAAUUGAAAAGUAGUUAUCCUUCUUUUAAAAUUUUUAAUUUAAAUGUGACUUCAUUCUCUGUGAAUCAGGCAUUAUGUCCCUUGCUAAAAAUGUACUGCCACACUAGUAAAUUAAAAUCUGUUCAAUAAGAUAUAUUUAUGUACACGACCGGCACCUUACAAUACUGUGAGCAUAGUUGAAAAGUGCUAUGUGCUUAGUAAAUUUAGAACUGCAUUUCCUGAAUGUCAAGGUGUUUAUUACCUGGAAAAAAGAAAGGAAAACAACUCUACAUUUCAAACACGUUCUUCAGCUUCCUUGAUGAGACAUUUGAAGGACCAUUAGUUGUCUAAAUCGAAAUUGUAUUUUAGAGAGGGGUAGAAUAUGAAAGAUUGUUCUUUAGUUUACGAUCAUAAACUUUACCCUGCAAUAAAGCUGUAAACCC
rnacentral:lncRNA from 1 species